rnacentral:rRNA from 1 species
CCUACGGGAGGCAGCAGUAGGGAAUCUUCCACAAUGGACGAAAGUCUGAUGGAGCAACGCCGCGUGAGUGAAGAAGGGUUUCGGCUCGUAAAGCUCUGUUGGUAGUGAAGAAAGAUAGAGGUAGUAACUGGCCUUUAUUUGACGGUAAUUACUUAGAAAGUCACGGCUAACUACGUGCCAGCAGCCGCGGUAAUACGUAGGUGGCAAGCGUUGUCCGGAUUUAUUGGGCGUAAAGGGUGCGUAGGUGGUUUGGCAAGUUAGUAGCGUAACUCCAAGGCUCAACCUUGGAACUACUACUAAAACUGUUGGACUUGAGUGCAGGAGGGGCAACCGGAAUUCCUAGUGUAGCGGUGGAAUGCGUAGAUAUUAGGAGGAACACCAGUGGCGAAGGCGGGUUGCUAGACUGUAACUGACACUGAGGCACGAAAGCGUGGGGAGCAAACAGGAUUAGAUACCCUUGUAGUC